UACGGAGGGUGCAAGCGUUAUCCGGAUUCACUGGGUUUAAAGGGUGCUUAGGCGGGCAGGUAAGUCCGUGGUGAAAUCUCUGAGCUUAACUCAGAAACUGCCAUGGAUACUAUUUGUCUUGAAUAUUGUGGAGGUAAGCGGAAUAUGUCAUGUAGCGGUGAAAUGCUUAGAUAUGACAUAGAACACCAAUUGCGAAGGCAGCUUACUACACAGUAAUUGACGCUGAGGCACGAAAGCGUGGGGAUCAAACAGG
rnacentral:rRNA from 1 species